UACGGGGGGGGCAAGCGUUGUUCGGAAUUACUGGGCGUAAAGGGCUCGUAGGUGGCCAACUAAGUCAGACGUGAAAUCCCUCGGCUUAACCGGGGAACUGCGUCUGAUACUGGAUGGCUUGAGUUUGGGAGAGGGAUGCGGAAUUCCAGGUGUAGCGGUGAAAUGCGUAGAUAUCUGGAGGAACACCGGUGGCGAAGGCGGCAUCCUGGACCAACACUGACACUGAGGAGCGAAAGCCAGGGGAGCAAACGGG
rnacentral:rRNA from 1 species